rnacentral:hammerhead_ribozyme from 1 species
AUGAAGUUGACGAGUUUCAAAUAGGACGAAACGCGCGUUCUGAAU